AGAGAGGCGUGUUAGUGUGGGGAGACGGUGCUGGGGAGAGGAGCUCUGCCCUGGGGAGGCGAAGAGAGGGAAAGAGAAAGGGACUUGUCUGCUGGUAAGGAGAGAAGCCCUCAGUAGAAACUGGGGUUAGACGUCAUCAACAGAGGUCUCAUGAGAGCGUACAGGAGUCUCCUUGGUCUCCUACUGUAGCAAUGCUUUUGUCGCUUUGUCAUCCCCGAAUGAAAAAUUUGAAAGUGGCAGUGUCGUUUGACGUGUGUUGGGACAGGAGAAAUGCUGGCUGUACGUUGUCGUCUGAUUACUGGUUAGCGGCUGGAGCCGCAGGGGGAGCCCUUGAAGUGAUAAAGGCGGGCACACGGCAGUGACAGGGAAGGGUCAGGGCGGGACAGAGGUGAGGUCACACUGGUGCACUGUUUUCCCGAAGUGGGUCUUGGACCAUCAUUCAAGGUCAUAUUUAUCUCCACUUUUUUAUGAGUCAAGGAAUGGCGGUUAUCUUUUCAAGGUCAUACAGUAAGGCCAGUGCCCAACAUGUCUCAGUGGUACAAAUUCAUUUUUAAGUCCGUCAUUCCCUACAAAGCAAACAAGUGGAGGUUG